ACCGUGGAUGUCUGGUGACGUCUCUGCUGCUCCGUCUGCUUUGGAGGUUGCCAGCUUCCUCGGCAAAACACUUGGCGCAGGCGCGGCACUGACGGCUGCUGUCUACUUGGUCCGCAAAGUCUGCCUAAUAAUGGCGUGGAAAUCCGGAGGCUCUAGCCACGCAGAGCUCGUCAACAACCUGCGCAAAAAUGGCAUCAUUAAGUCCGAAAAGGUGUAUGAAGUCAUGCUGGCCACAGACCGUGCAAAUUUCUCUAGGUGUAACCCUUACAUGGACUCGCCACAGUCAAUAGGCUUCCAAGCAACCAUCAGCGCCCCACAUAUGCACGCGUAUGCCCUGGAGCUUCUACACGACCAGCUAUACGAGGGCGCCAAGGCCCUAGAUGUGGGCUCCGGCAGUGGAAUCCUGUCUGUUUGUUUUGCACGAAUGGUAGGACCUGAAGGGAAAGUUAUAGGCAUUGACCACAUCAAAGAGCUUGUUGACGACUCUAUAAACAACGUGAAGAAAGACGACCCCAGUUUGAUCACGUCGGGAAUAGUUACGCUAAAAGUUGGAGACGGAAGACUGGGGUACACGGAUGAGGCACCUUACGACGCCAUCCAUGUUGGAGCAGCAGCAUCGACUGUCCCCCAAGCUCUCCUGGACCAAUUGAAACCUGGCGGUCGUCUCAUUCUGCCCGUGGGGCCGGCAGGGGGGAACCAGAUGUUGGAGCAAUAUGACAAGAUGGAGGAUGGCAGCACCAAAAAGAAGCCCCUGAUGGGGGUGAUAUAUGUGCCUUUAACAGACAAAGACAAGCAGUGGUCCAGGUGGAAGUGACUUCCUUCUCCCCCCUCCCUCAUCCUCCCACCCUCUGCUUCUCACAGUGGAAAAGGUGAAAUGGGUGUGGCUUGGAGCAGGCAACGCAUCACAAGAGGCUGCAUUUUGCUGCUUGUUGACAUAUUUUGCUUCUUCCAUACCAUGCCAAGUAGCUGCACGUUUCCUUCCUCUUUUUCUUUUUUAUCACCGCAAUCACACAUUGGUGGGUGAAUCAACCUUGCUAGACUAAUGAAACUUGAAAAAGCAACAGCACUGUGAAGGCUUGUUUUUGGGUUUAGUGAGUAUGACCACAUGAAUAAUAAUCUGGAACGUUGCAACUAUCUUUUAUUUGAUCUUCUGCUCUGUGAGAUGUAGACAACACUGACAAGUCGGAUUGUGUGUGGAUGAACUCUGAACAGGAAGACAAUCCAUAAUCCAUCUUUUUAAUUUCAAACCUGGACCGACACACAGACUUGGGGGGUCAAGCAGUCCUUACAUUUUGCUCCAAAAACAUAACAAAACCUCUGAUUUAAGUUAAUUUAUUAAACGCGUUGGACUAAAGAGUAUCACUGAACUGGGAGGAAAAAGUUUAAGUUGUACCCUUUUCGAUUUGCUGAAUUUACUUCUGUUGUGGUUUCUUUAUUUUGAAUGCAGUCAGCCAUAAAUACAUAGUAUUAUAUUUCUGCAGAACAGAAGAAUGCUGGAAUUUAAUGAUGAAAGCCUGAGCUUUUUAGGUUUUUCACAUAGCUGCAGUGUAUGUCAUCUAACUUUCAAUUUCUCUGCUAAUAGAUGCGCUUAAGGCAUCCCCCCCACUGAUUGCAUAUUAGCAACACAUGCUGAUGUAAUCCACAUAUCCUGUUUGAUGUGCAGCACUCAAGAUCAUAUAUUACAGCCUACGGCAAUGCUUCGUAUCCAAAGAGAACGGCGCAUUAACACCAACACGUGCACGUGCAAAGAUGCGCUUUCUAGAAACAUCAAAUGCAGGCAUCUCUGCUGACUUUCACAGUCACUACUUUGCCAAAACAAGCUGUCAUAAAGCAAAUGAAUGUCUUGACUUGGGGGAGGAAAAAAAAAAAGGAUUCUUUAAGCACAUUAUUUUGAGUGAACUGAAUAAUGACUAAUGAAUAAUGUCUGUCACGAAUUCUGCAAUGGCAAAUGACAAUAAAGAGUUGCAUAUG